GAUGAACGCUGGCGGCGUGCCUAAUACAUGCAAGUCGAGCGAACAGACGAGGAGCUUGCUCCUCUGACGUUAGCGGCGGACGGGUGAGUAACACGUGGAUAACCUACCUAUAAGACUGGGAUAACUUCGGGAAACCGGAGCUAAUACCGGAUAAUAUAUUGAACCGCAUGGUUCAAUAGUGAAAGACGGUUUUGCUGUCACUUAUAGAUGGAUCCGCGCCGCAUUAGCUAGUUGGUAAGGUAACGGCUUACCAAGGCAACGAUGCGUAGCCGACCUGAGAGGGUGAUCGGCCACACUGAAACUGAGACACGUUCCAGACUCCUACGGGAGGCAGCGGUAGGGAACCUUCCGCAAUGGGCGAAAGCCUGACGGAGCACCGCCGCGUGAGUGAUGAAGGUCUUCGGUUCGUAAACCUCUGUUAUUAGGGAAGAACAAAUGUGUAAGUAACUAUGCCCGUCUUGACGGUACCUAAUCAGAAAGCCACGGCUAACUACGU
rnacentral:rRNA from 1 species